AUCAAGUAGCAACAUGAUGGCUAUCAAUUAAAUUAUAGAAAACCAAAGUAAAUUCUCUCUUUAAUCUUAAAGAAAAUUAAUAAUAAGAGAAAAUCUACACAAUUGAGUUAAAAUUAACCAGGCAUUAACAAACAGUUGACUCUCCAGUUUGUGAGGUUCUCUCAUUCGCAAAAAAACAAUAAGUGCUUUAGAUCAUAAACUUCCAUUCACCACUCAUCAAUACUUUUUAAUAAUGAAUAAGGAAAUAUAUGUUGCUAGACUGAUAUACUGAGUUAUACCCAAUACCUAGCAUGCACCAUUUGUUUCCAGAUGUUGAUAACGUAUAAUCAAAUCAAAAGCUCAUCAUAAAGAUACGGACAAACAAAUUGUGCUCCGAAACCUCUCCCUGCAUAAAGAGAUAACGUUAGUCAAAACAGCUCCUAGCAAGAAAUGAUACAUCAAGUUCCAAUUGUCUACAUAUUUGCAUUUAUAACCAGAAAACACAAAGAUGAAACUGAGAAUUAAAAUGAAAUUUAUAUGAUUUUUGUUCAAAUGUCAUCAUAUAAGAUUAUGUUUAUGAGGUUGAUAUGACAUUGAAAGAGCUGAUUAGUUUCAUCUAUCCACCCCCAAAGAAGAAAAGGGACACAUAUAAACCACACUCCACACACACUAAAAAUAAAAACAGCAAGUCACCUUCUUCUCAAUAUAACUAGCAUUGGUUUAUAACUAAAAUUAGAAACAACAAUGUAGACAGUUUCACAACAAAAUUUCAUAUAAACAUAAAUAAUGAAACCAUCACAUAUCACAUACUAAAUUAAAGCCUCCACAUCAGAUGAACCAAUUACAAAUUCAAGAUUUUAAGAAAUUAGUUCAACUAUAUGAUGAUCACAAACACAAUAGAAUUAGAACAUUUUCAAAGUUCAUAAAAAAGAUUCCAGGAAUACCCACAAGUUAUGGAUCACUAGAAUAGGGUCAACUGAAAAUUCGAAAAGCAUAAAACAAUAAAGAACUAAUAGACUCAAUAGAUGAACAAAAAAACCAAACAAAUAGGGAUUGAUUCUAACAAAUCACCAAAUAAAACAAGAAACGCCAUAAAAUCAUCAAAACAACACAUUACAUUCCAAUCUAACUGAAAAAGUGACAGAAUUUAGAAAUGGGUAGAGUAAAAUUAAGAUUAAAUAUACUUUCAAUUGGGUUCAUAAGUAUCACACACAUACCUAAACAGAUAGAACAAAGGGGUUUAUACCUAGAGUUCGGCACUAGACGACCUGGAAAUUGGCCUUUUCAUAUCAUCCUUCUCCUUGUUAGCUGUGGCCGCUGUAGCCAUCGCGGUCGUCUUUUCAACCAGUAGCCCCUUCUCGCCUUUUCCAGCCAUUUUUCCCGGUUAAAAUCGAAUACCCAAGUUUGCUAUGAUAAGCAAAACAAUCAAACAGAUAGAUAUGUGUACACAGUAAGAGAGAGACAAUUAAUCGAAAUUUUAAGAAUUAGUGAUGCGUUUGUUUAGCAAAUUUACAUUAGAAAAUCAGAAACAUAGAUAUACAUAUAGAGAGAGGAAGAUGGAGGAACCUGAGAGUUUGGUAAACAGAAGAGGCGACGAAUGAGAGGAAUAGAAGUAAAAGCAGGUUUUCGAAUUGUUUUG
rnacentral:lncRNA from 1 species